AUUGAACGCUGGCGGCAGGCUUAACACAUGCAAGUCGGACGAGUGGCGGACGGGUGAGUAAUGCCUGGGAACCUGGCGUAUAGUGGGGGAUAACGGCCGGAAAGGGUAGCUAAUACCGCAUACCAUCGUAUGAGCCCAGGUGGGAUUAGAUAGUUGGUGGGGUAAAGGCCCACCAAGCCGACGAUCGCUAGCUGGUCUGAGAGGAUGACGAGCCACACUGGGACUGAGACACGGCCCGGACUCCUACGUGAGGCAGCAGUGUGGAAUAUUGCGCAAUGGGGGCAACCUGACGCAGCCAUGCCGCGUGAAUGAAGAAGGCCUUCGGGUUGUAAAGGUCUUUCGGUGACGAGGCGUUAAUCACAGAAGAAGCACCGGCUAACUCCGUGCCAGCAGCCGCGGUAAUAC
rnacentral:rRNA from 1 species